GCCGAUCAGGCUGUUGGUGAGGUAAUGGCCCACCAAACCUGUAACCGGUACGGGCUUUGAGAGAAGGAGCCCGGAGAUGGGCACUGAGACAAGGGCCCAGGCCCUAUGGGGCGCAGCAGGCGCGAAACCUCUGCAAUAGGCGAAAGCUUGACAGGGUUACUCUGAGUGAUGCCCGCUAAGGGUAUCUUUUGGCACCUCUAAAAAUGGUGCAGAAUAAGGGGUGGGCAAGUCUGGUGUCAGCCGCCGCGGUAAUACCAGCACCCCGAGUUGUCGGGACGAUUAUUGGGCCUAAAGCAUCCGUAGCCUGUUCUGCAAGUCCUCCGUUAAAUCCACCUGCUCAACGGACGGGCUGCGGGGGAUACCGCAGAGCUAGGAGGCGGGAGAGGCAAACGGUACUCAGUAGGUAGGGGUAAAAUCCUUUGAUCUACUGAAGACCACCAGUGGCGAAGGCGGUUUGCCAGAACGCGCUCGACGGUGAGGGAUGAAAGCUGGGGGAGCAAACCGGAUUAGAUACCCGGGUAGUCCCAGCUGUAAACGAUGCAGACUCGGUGAUGGGUUGGCUUCGGGCCAACCCAGUGCCGCAGGGAAGCCGUUAAGUCUGCCGCCUGGGGAGUACGGUCGCAAGACUGAAACUUAA
rnacentral:rRNA from 1 species